rnacentral:rRNA from 1 species
UGAACGCUGGCGGCAGGCCUAACACAUGCAAGUCGAACGGUAACAGGAAGCAGCUUGCUGCUUUGCUGACGAGUGGCGGACGGGUGAGUAAUGUCUGGGAAACUGCCCGAUGGAGGGGGAUAACUACUGGAAACGGUAGCUAAUACCGCAUAACGUCGCAAGACCAAAGAGGGGGACCUUAGGGCCUCUUGCCAUCGGAUGUGCCCAGAUGGGAUUAGCUAGUAGGUGGGGUAACGGCUCACCUAGGCGACGAUCCCUAGCUGGUCUGAGAGGAUGACCAGCCACACUGGAACUGAGACACGGUCCAGACUCCUACGGGAGGCAGCAGUGGGGAAUAUUGCACAAUGGGCGCAAGCCUGAUGCAGCCAUGCCGCGUGUAUGAAGAAGGCCUUCGGGUUGUAAAGUACUUUCAGCGGGGAGGAAGGGAGUAAAGUUAAUACCUUUGCUCAUUGACGUUACCCGCAGAAGAAGCACCGGCUAACUCCGUGCCAGCAGCCGCGGUAAUACGGAGGGUGCAAGCGUUAAUCGGAAUUACUGGGCGUAAAGCGCACGCAGGCGGUUUGUUAAGUCAGAUGUGAAAUCCCCGGGCUCAACCUGGGAACUGCAUCUGAUACUGGCAAGCUUGAGUCUCGUAGAGGGGGGUAGAAUUCCAGAUGUAGCGGUGAAAUGCGUAGAGAUCUGGAGGAAUACCGGUGGCGAAGGCGGCCCCCUGGACGAAGACUGACGCUCAGGUGCGAAAGCGUGGGGAACAAACAGGAUUAGAUACCCUGGUAGUCCACGCCGUAAACGAUGUCGACUUGGAGGUUGUGCCCUUGAGGCGUGGCUUCCGGAGCUAACGCGUUAAGUCGACCGCCUGGGGAGUACGGCCGCAAGGUUAAAACUCAAAUGAAUUGACGGGGGCCCGCACAAGCGGUGGAGCAUGUGGUUUAAUUCGAUGCAACGCGAAGAACCUUACCUGGUCUUGACAUCCACGGAAGUUUUCAGAGAUGAGAAUGCGCCUUCGGGAACCGUGAGACAGGUGCUGCAUGGCUGUCGUCAGCUCGUGUUGUGAAAUGUUGGGUUAAGUCCCGCAACGAGCGCAACCCUUAUCCUUUGUUGCCAGCGGUCCGGCCGGGAACUCAAAGGAGACUGCCAGUGAUAAACUGGAGGAAGGUGGGGAUGACGUCAAGUCACCAUGGCCCUUACGACCAGGGCUACACACGUGCUACAAUGGCGCAUACAAAGAGAAGCGACCUCGCGAGAGCAAGCGGACCUCAUAAAGUGCGUCGUAGUCCGGAUUGGAGUCUGCAACUCGACUCCAUGAAGUCGGAAUCGCUAGUAAUCGUGGAUCAGAAUGCCACGGUGAAUACGUUCCCGGACCUUGUACACACCGCCCGUCACACCAUGGGAGUGGGUUGCAAAAGAAGUAGGUAGCUUAACCUUCGGGAGGGCGCUUACCACUUUGUGAUUCAUGACUGGGG